UACGACUCCGUAUCCAUCGACACCUAGAAGGCUAGAACCUUCGCCGCCGCCGGCCCCUCCCACCGGCCACCUGUGUGCCGAUGCCCCCUCCAUCUAGCCGCCACCCACAUCUGCGCCGCCUACAACGCCCCCGUUCUUCUGCGCCUCCGCCCCUAGCUCGCCCAUCCAAAGCUUAUCUCCGUCCUCCCGAGCAAGCCGCCAAACCUACAGACGAGAUACUCGAUUUUUCUGCCCUCCGUAUACGAGGUUGCCAAGCUGCCGGAUCUGGUGGAAAUCGCCCCAAUCCCAGGGUGAGCUCAUAUGGCAGCUGGCUCGAGUUAGUCUACAGACCUCCACAGCCACUACACAUGAGGUGACAGACACCUAGCCAGGCCGCCACGUAUGCGGAUGCACAGCUCGUGGAUCCGGUGGAGGUGGCCCCAAUACCAGCAUCAGCUCGUCCCGCCGCUGCCCCUAACUUGCCUACAGGCUGCCGCAGGAGUCACUCACGUGGUCGGAUUAACAACCUGGUGGUCAACUUCCCUCCAGGUAUUCUCUACAUCCAGUUACAUUAGUGCGUUCUUGCUGAGUUGAGAUAGAGCAGUUAAUUAUUUCUCUCUCAAUAUGUGUGUAUUGAGAAGAAACUACAGAGAGCAGUUUUGUUCUCUGCAUUAUGUGUAUACGGGAGCAGCAACUACCAAAACAGUGGACGAUGUGCAGUUAGCAGUUUAUUCUUCCUUAAAAGACAACAUAUUUGUGUUCCAAAUAUGUUAUUUGUUUGUGUCUUCCAUAGCAGACUUCUCAAGCCGACCUGAUUGCAUUUGUUUGUUUUUGGAAGUGCCAGUUAGUGCAAAUGUUAAAUAAUUAGACAGUUCAUAAUUUGGAUUUGCACAUUCUUUCCUAGCUAGCUGGUAAGAAAUAUGGUUUAUUCAACUAAUUGCAUCCAGAACUCUUUCUACAUAAAUGUUAUUUCAACGGACAUGGGCUGUGGACGGUGGUUACUACUCAUGUCAUGGAUCGUGGAGUCUGACAAAUUAUGAUUUUUGUUUCUAAGUGUUUAUUCAAACUAUUGAUUGUUAAAAUUCAGAAACAGGCAAGUAUUCUGUAGCGUGAUGAUGUAACAUUUGGUAUGGUGGUAACUGAAAAUUCAGGAGUAUUUUAGACUUUUCAUCUUCUAACUUAUGUAGGCAGCUGGCUUACGCACAAUACUAAGUUGUUCCAAACCCGCCAUAAGCAUUCUAGCAUGAAUAUCUUCCUAGCAAUAUCCCCACCUUUUUGUAGGUGCAGAAAUUGAAAUACUGGAGAAGCACACAGACUUAUAAAGCGGGAGUUUUGUUAGACAUAAAGAGGAAAGAAUAUAUGUUUUUUGUUGCCCUUCAACAUCUAAUCUACUUCAUUAGAGACCAAGGUAUUGGUGUUGAUGAAGAGUAAGAACGUCUCUACAUAUCAUCAACUCCCGCUUCAUCUUUGUUAAGCAAUGCCUAUUUGUGCAAUUGACCUCAAUACCAUGCCUGCCAUAACUUUGUGAUAAAAUAAUUUGUUGGCACCCCAAAAUUUAGUAAUGAUAUAGAUCGGUUUCGGAAUAUACUACUAUUAGACAAGGAUGCCACUUUUAUUGCUGAGUUGACAUCAAAACUGGAAGAUGCAAGUCACUGUAUAGUUCUAUAAAAUGUCUGUCGGCUUUGUUUGAUAGGUACAUCUCCAUCAGUUAGUGUGCAUUCCAUAUAAAAUGCAUCACAAGUGUUGUCAAUUGUUUGUUCCUUUGUCUAGGUAUACUAUGGACCCUCUAUAGGCACAUUUCCCCCUUUUGCCUAAAUAUAUUACAGAACCUAUCAAAUGUGCUUUGUGUGGUUAAGAUGUGGAGGAUGGACUAGCUGGUACGGUCUACCACAGGUGUCAUCCUAUCCAGCCCUGUGCAUCAAUCUCCCAUGGUAGCAAAUUGUUUUCGUUGUAGUCUAUCUUAGUGCACCAACGGACAUUGUGUGUUAUCUCUUUUGUGUUUUCUGUGCUUUUUUGUACCAUAAUUUUCCCAGUGCCAAUUAUGCAUGUGCAUACAAUACGGUUUGAACCUGUAUAUACUCUCUUAUGUAUUCAAGUUUUAUAUCAAGUACUUUUAAUUACGUUUUCCUUUUUUUUUCAUGUUCGUUCUCUUGGCCGAUUGCUGAUUGUGAUAUGUUUGUGGGACUAUAAUGCACUUAGCAAACUGUUUUAGCAAUAUUUGGUAUUGGCUGACACACUUGCAAUAUUGCAGAAUUCUAUGCUACAAGAUAAAAUUAAGUGAUUUGGAACGCUACAAUAUCAAUUCGUUUACCCAUGGGCGGCAUGCUACUUCGUAUAAUGCUCACAGACAUGGAGAGAUGACGAUGCGUGACAUGGAAGGGUGACCGAGUAGGAAAUGCACUAGCAGGUUCAGUCAGUAGUCGUCAUACCUCCAUUGCACAGAUUCGUGGGGACAAGUAUUGGUAUUGUCGCAUUGUCGUUCUUCUAUUAUUGAUAGUAAAGGUUAGGUUAAAGUGAUGUGCUUAAUAUGUCACUAUUUCUAGCAGAGAAUGGUGUGUGGGCUGGAGGGUGAAGCACAUGUUAAGCGAGGAGGAGCUGAAGACAGAGACUUAUUUGGAUUGUCAUUGCAAUUGCCAAAUGCGUGUGUGGAAAGAUUUUCUUUGUCACAUGCUCUAUGCACUAUAGGAUAGAGCAAGGAAUGAUAAAGCACAGGAAGUCCUCCUGAAAGGUGAAUAUGGAGAAGAAACCGUUUGGCUUAGAAGAAGGGUUUUUUAGUUGGAAACCGUAUGUUCGAUUGUGCUCGACGUGUAUUGAUCAACAAUAUAACAUCAUUUUGAUCAAUAUCUCGGUACAUUUUAUUAUUGUUUUGUAGCAAUGUACUCACUCUUGACUAGUACAAUUUAAGUAAAUUAUGUUCCACAUCGUCUUUUGUGAUUCCGUUGCGUAUCACGGGCAUCUUACUAGUAAUUUAUAAAGUGACAGGCAUAAGCAGCAUGGAACAUACACUAAGUGAUAAGCUAAUGCAUGUCCAUAAAUUGAGCCAGAACCAAGGUACAAUAUAGCAACCUUCGAGCGCUAACCACAGUAUCUAAACCGCUCAUCAAGCAUAUUGCAACUAAUCCUAAGUCGGCAUGUGAUUAGAAGAAAUGCAAAAACAAACAAAGCCAUAGAACACAGGAAAGAUAUGCAAAUAUUUAAUAUGACACUCUGCACAUUCAAUAGGAG
rnacentral:lncRNA from 1 species